UGGGGAAUAUUGCACAAUGGGCGCAAGCCUGAUGCAGCCAUGCCGCGUGUGUGAAGAAGGCCUUCGGGUCGUAAAGCACUCUCAGCGAGGAGGAAGGUGGUGAGCUUAAUACGCUCAUCAAUUGACGUUACUCGCAGAAGAAGCACCGGCUAACUCCGUGCCAGCAGCCGCGGUAAUACGGAGGGUGCAAGCGUUAAUCGGAAUUACUGGGCGUAAAGCGCACGCAGGCGGUUUGUUAAGUCAGAUGUGAAAUCCCCGGGCUCAACCUGGGAACUGCAUUUGAAAACUGGCAAGCUAGAGUCUCGUAGAGGGGGGUAGAAUUCCAGGUGUAGCGGUGAAAUGCGUAGAGAUCUGGAGGAAUACCGGUGGCGAAGGCGGCCCCCCUGGACGAAGACUGACGCUCAGGUGCGAAAAGGCGUGGGGGCAGCAAAACAGGAUUAGAUACCCUGGUAGUCCACGCUGUAAAACGAUGUCGAUUUUGGAGGUUGUGCCCUUGAGGCGUGGCUUCCGGAGCUAACGCGUUAAAUCGACCG
rnacentral:rRNA from 1 species